UACACCUGGGGGCUAGCACUAGGACAAAAGUAUUAAAUUGGCAUAUAGCCUAUUCGCAUUCUGAGACAACAGCAAACUCUUUUACCCAAGCUGUCUGGAUGUGGUCAGGUACUGCGCUCAGGUAUCUGAAGGUGCAGUGCACUUCAGUAGGAACAUAGCAGGCGCAUGAGUUGGGGCAGUCACCGCUCGCCGGCAGCAGCAGAGCAGCCAAGAACAACAAAGUCUCCAUCAACCUCCUCCGCAGAAACAUGGAAAGGUGGCUGAUGUCGGUUGGCGACAAUUGCUGAAGACAUUGUUUUGCCCCAGAUGGAGAGAAUUAGCAAACGGAGGUCAACGGAGAAGAGGGCUGUCUGACUGUCUAAGCUGCAGUAAAACUGUAAGUAAACAUUGUUAGCUGACAGUGCUGCGGCUCAAAUGUCCACAGCACAUGACAGUUGUUGUGACAGAUUAAUCUACUUUACCUUCAAUGAUUCUGCUCCGUCAGUGCAACAGUCAUUUUGCUUACAGAUAAAGUAUUCUCAAGAUCCAGAAA